AGAGCGAACGCUGGCGGCAGGCCUAACACAUGCAAGUCGAGCGCCCCGCAAGGGGAGCGGCAGACGGGAGAGUAACACGUGGGAACGUACCCUUCAGUUCGGAACAACCCAGGGAAACUUGGGCUAAUACCGGAUACGUCCGUAAGGAGAAAGAUUUAUCGCUGAAGGAUCGGCCCGCGUCUGAUUAGCUUGUUGGUGAGGUAACGGCUCACCAAGGCUACGAUCAGUAGCUGGUCUGAGAGGAUGAUCAGCCUCACUGGGACUGAGACACGGCCCAGACUCCUACGGGAGGCAGCAGUGGGGAAUAUUGGACAAUGGGCGCAAGCCUGAUCCAGCCAUGCCGCGUGGGUGAUGAAGGCCCUAGGGUUGUAAAGCCCUUUCGGCGGGAAGAUAAUGACGGUACCGCAGAAGAGCCCCGGCUAACGUUCGUGCCAGCAGCCGC
rnacentral:rRNA from 1 species